UUCACGUCACGCCGACUGGAGCUUCUUCCAAAUGUUUUACCGCAAACACAUCCAAAUGUCGAAGAUGUGUAGGUGAUUUUGAGUGGGAGAGGUUUGAGUGUCACACAAACAAGCGUCAAGCAGUGAGCUGCUCUUAAGAUGCUGCUCUGGAAGCCGUGGAGGAACAGAGGAACAGAGCCCGCGUUCAAAACACAGCCUUCGAAGCCUGUCAGUUCUCAUGUAGUCGGAGAAGCAAAGAAAUGAUUCGGACUUUGUUGGACACAGAAAGGACAAGUGGCGUAUUUCUAACUGGGAUGGGGAUUUUCCCGCACAGCGCGCGUUUGCCUCACCUCACCGGCAUUUCACGGAUAUAGCCUACUAAAAGGAGGGAAAUAAGGCAUAUUUCCCCGGAAAGACAAGCAACCAGAGAAAAAGAAAUCAUCAACACAGGCUUUUUCCAAGACAUGAGAUGCUGCAUAGAAGCUACCACUAGUCACUCCAGAUCGAUAAAGUUUCCUGGCUUUGGAGAAA